AGCAGCCGCGGUAAUUCCAGCUCCAAUAGCGUAUAUUAAAGUUGUUGCAGUUAAAAGCUCGUAGUUGAAUUUCGGGAUCAAUACGUCGGUCGUGCUUCGGUACGUACUGGCGUAAUUGAUUUCUCCCCUCUGACGAACCAUGAUGUCAUUAACUUGGUGUCAUGGGAAAUCAGGACUGUUACUUUGAAAAAAUUAGAGUGUUUAAAGCAGGCUCACGCUUGAAUACAUUAGCAUGGAAUAAUGAAAUAGGACGUUCGAUCCUAUUUUGUUGGUUUUAGGAUCAACGUAAUGAUUAAUAGGGAUAGUUGGGGGCAUUAGUAUUCAAUUGUCAGAGGUGGAAUUCUUGGAUUUAUUGAAGACUAACUACUGCGAAAGCAUUUGCCAAGGAUGUUUUCAUUAAUCAAGAACGAAAGUUAGGGGAUCGAAGACGAUCAGAUACCGUCGUAGUCUUAACCAUAAACUAUGCCGACUAGGGAUCGGAUGAUGUUAAUUUUUUAAUGACUCAUUCGGCGCCUUACGG
rnacentral:rRNA from 1 species